rnacentral:rRNA from 1 species
AAUCAACGCUGGCGGCGUGCCUAACACAUGCAAGUCGCACGAGAAAGGGGAGCAAUCCCUGAGUAAAGUGGCGCACGGGUGAGUAACACGUGAAUUAUCUACCUCCGAGUGGGGAAUAACUGAGAGAAAUCUUAGCUAAUACCGCAUAACACUUACGAGUCAAAGCAGCAAUGCGCUUGGAGAGGAGUUCGCGGCCGAUUAGUUAGUUGGCGGGGUAAUGGCCCACCAAGCGAUGAUCGGUAUCCGGCCUGAGGAGGGCGCACGGACACACUGGAACUGAAACACGGUCCAGACUCCUACGGGAGGCAGCAGGUGGGGAAUUUUGCGCAAUGGGGGAAACCCUGACGCAGCAACGCCGCGUGGAGAU